AGUAACUGCAGGAGCAGUGCUCUCUUUCCACUGCAGUUGCUGAGAAGUUACGAUGCUGAGCUGGAGCAGCCGCUGGCCACCUUCAUACGAGUGAACAUCUACCCUAAAAUAUAGCCAACUCAGGGGAAUGCACAGUUUAAAAAUAGAGAAAAAGAGCCACAUGGUGACAUCCUUUGAGUUCCUGGAUCCAGCCACACCCAAAGCAAAAAUCCCCAUCCUGCUUCAAGUCUGUGAUUCAAUGAAACACUUGGUUGGAUUAAACCAACUGGGGUAGGAUUUUCUGUCACUUGCAACCACAGAAUCCUGAUGGAUACAAGACACUCUUUCUCAUAGAGCCUCUCUUGAAGCUGCUAUUUGAUUACUGCAUGGUCUUCUAAAUAGUAAAUAUAAAAUAUCACACUUGGAAAGAACCCAACUUUUAGGCCUUUGGUGGGUAGAUUUUUUCCUGAGGAUUCAAGUCAGCAGCCUAGAGACCAUCGUGUGUCAAGGUCUUAACCUCAGACACUCGCUCUUCUUUGUUACUUUAAAGCUGUCUAAUGUAGAAACCCCUGAGAUGCUGCUCCAUAGACAUGAGAAGACAGAGUCCUCGGGCCCUGCGCAAGGUCUGAGGCCCAUCACCAGCUCAGCUUCUGCCCUUUUGCAAAACACUGGUCUUUUUGUCUCUGAUGAUGUGAGUCCAUUGCUCACAUAUCUGGCUGUUUCAUCCAAAAAAAAAUAUUUUACUUUUGGCUUAAAAGCCCAUCUCAACAUAAACAUCGGAGCUCCCGAAUGUUGCUCUAACAGCUUGACAACUCUGUAGGUGUAGAGCUGGCUGCCCGCCAAUCCAAAUUUUUCUGCUUCUUUCUUUUAAUAUAAACAGAGCCUUUGAAGAACUGUGGAUUCAUUGAAUGAACAAAUGAACUUGUUUACAUAAAACAUGCAGGAGGAAAUUUCCACUGUGCUUCAACAUAUAAUUUCAGUCUGUUUUUGGAUGGGCUGGUGCAUUAUGGAGAUUGUUUUUCUAGACCAGGAUGCUGUCCUCCAUAUGGUGGCCUCAUUGUUCACUCCAGUCGGUAAGUUCAAGGUUUAGCUAUGAGGGGAGAAGGGGUACAAAAUUAAAUUCUGCUAUGUUGGUUCACAAAGAACAGACUCGAGUUUGGAAGACCCCUGACCAAUUAUAGGAAAGAAAGAAAUGGAAAUGUGUUUUUUUCUUAGUGUAUGAUGUUUUAUAGAAACAGAAGCAAAGGUCUUCUGGCCGGCUCUUCUGACCCUCCACUCCAAAUAUGCACCCUGAAUCUAGUGAUUUACAUUAAUUUGUAGAAGUUAAAACAAGCGAGGAGGUCGCUCAGGAUGGGUUGGGUAGGAUGAUUAAUGAUAGUUUUAUGUCAUUUCAAGAAAAUAAACAUUGCUUUUCACAGGCUUUGUGUGCAGCCCUAUGAAUCAUCUCUUGGUUAAUAAAGAGGCUCCUCCCAUCACUCUAUUUGCUGGUGACAAAUCACUUUAGGAGGGGGUGACAGGAGUUUUCAGAAAAUGCCUUGUGUGAUGAUGUGAAAUCCAGAGAUAGAAUAUGCCGGUGGAAAGUUCAGGGAGGAUGAGAGGGUGUGUAUUAGUCUGUUCUCAUGCUGCUAAUAAAGAUACACCCAAUACUGCAUAAUUUAUAAAGGAAAGAGGUUUAAUGGACCCACAGUUCCACAUGGCUGGGGAGGCCUCACAAUCAUGCAGGAAGGCAAAUGAGGAGCGAAGUCACUUCUUACAUGGUGGCAGGCAAGACAGCUUGUGUAGGG
rnacentral:lncRNA from 1 species